UACGUAGGUGGCAAGCGUUGUUCGGAAUUAUUGGGCGUAAAGCGCACGUAGGCGGCUUUGUAAGUUAGAGGUGAAAGCCCGGGGCUCAACUCCGGAAUUGCCUUUAAGACUGCAUCGCUAGAAUUGUGGAGAGGUAAGUGGAAUUCCGAGUGUAGAGGUGAAAUUCGUAGAUAUUCGGAAGAACACCAGUGGCGAAGGCGACUUACUGGACACAUAUUGACGCUGAGGUGCGAAAGCGUGGGGAGCAAACAGG
rnacentral:rRNA from 1 species